CUUCCACUCGGAACAGUUACUGACCAAGUGCUUUCUUUGUAGGCUUUGCAGUAUUUGUCUGUCAGGUAUGCAGUUUUCCAAGCUGUAUAUAACUACUGGAAAGAAAAGAGGGAGCGAUGGCAAAAGCCUAUUCUUCGGCGGUUGCAGCCUCCUCCGCCAGUGAAUGAUACAAACCCAUACAAUGUCUUCAGGCCAAGAGAAAAGGCUCAUCGUCUUCAUACAAGAAGGAUGCAAAGACGG